UCCCAAAGUGCUGAGAUGACAGGUGU
rnacentral:piRNA from 1 species